rnacentral:rRNA from 1 species
UACGUAGGGUGCGAGCGUUGUCCGGAAUUAUUGGGCGUAAAGGGCUCGUAGGCGGUUUGUCACGUCGGGAGUGAAAACUCAGGGCUUAACCCUGAGCCUGCUUCCGAUACGGGCAGACUAGAGGUAUGCAGGGGAGAACGGAAUUCCUGGUGUAGCGGUGAAAUGCGCAGAUAUCAGGAGGAACACCGGUGGCGAAGGCGGUUCUCUGGGCAUUACCUGACGCUGAGGAGCGGAAGUGUGGGGAGCGAACAGG